rnacentral:rRNA from 1 species
UACGGAGGGGGCUAGCGUUAUUCGGAAUUAUUGGGCGUAAAGGGCGCGUAGGCGGCCCGGUAAGUCAAAGGUGAAAUCCCUCGGCUCAACUGAGGAACUGCCUUUGAAACUGUCGGGCUUGAGGCCGGGAGGGGGUAGCGGAAUUCCCAGUGUAGCGGUGAAAUGCGUAGAUAUUGGGAGGAACACCGAUGGCGAAGGCAGCCCCCUGGGCUAACACUGACGCUCAUGCACGAAAGCGUGGGGAGCAAACAGG